rnacentral:rRNA from 1 species
CUACGGGUCGCAGCAGUGGGGAAUAUUGCACAAUGGAGGAAACUCUGGUGCAGCAACGCCGCGUGGAGGAUGACACUUUUCGGAGCGUAAACUCCUUUUAUAUAGGAAGAAGAUGACGGUACUAUAUGAAUAAGCGCCGGCUAACUCGCGUGCCAGCAGCCGCGGUAAUACGGAGGGCGCAAGCGUUACUCGGAAUCACUGGGCGUAAAGAGCGUGUAGGCGGAUUAAAAAGUCAGAAGUGAAAUCCUAUAGCUUAACUAUAGAACUGCUUCUGAAACUCUUAAUCUAGAAUAUGGGAGAGGUAGAUGGAAUUUCUGGUGUAGGGGUAAAAUCCGUAGAGAUCAGAAGGAAUACCGAUUGCGAAGGCGAUCUACUAGAACAUUAUUGACGCUGAGACGCGAAAGCGUGGGGAGCAAACAGGAUUAGAUACCCCUGUAGUC